rnacentral:rRNA from 1 species
CAAAAUCCGGGUUCACCUAUUCUGAGACGUGAUGACGAGUUGCUCCUCGGAGCGACGAAGUGAUUGAUGCCCUGCUUCCAAGAAAAACCUCUAAGCUUCAGGUUAUCAGUGGCCGUACCCCAAACCGACACAGGUGGGUAGGAUGAGAAUUCUAAGGCGCUUGAGAGAACUCGGCUGAAGGAACUAGGCAAAAUGAUACCGUAACUUCGGGAGAAGGUAUGCCCUUGGUAGGUGAAGGUCCUCGCGACUGGAGCCGAAGAGGGUUGCAAUAAAAUGGUGGCUGCGACUGUUUAGCAAAAACAUAGCACUCUGCAAACUCGAAAGAGGACGUAUAGGGUGUGACGCCUGCCCGGUGCUGGAAGGUUAAUUGAUGGGGUUAUCUCACGAGAAGCUCUUGAUCGAAGCCCCAGUAAACGGCGGCCGUAACAAUAACGGUCCUAAGGUAGCGAAAUUCCUUGUCGGGUAAGUUCCGACCUGCACGAAUGGCGUAACGAUGGCCACACUGUCUCCAGCCGAGACUCAGUGAAAUUGAAAUUGCGGUGAAGAUGCCGUAUACCCGCGGCUAGACGGAAGGACCCCGUGAACCUUUACUAUAGCUUGACACUGGACUUUGAAUCGAUUUGUGUAGGAUAGGUGGGGGACUUUGAAGCCGGAACGCCAGUUCUGGUGGAGUCGACCUUGAAAUACCACCCUGGUUUAUUUGAAGUUCUAACCUAGGUCCAUUAUCUGGAUUGGGGACAGUGUCUGGUGGGUAGUUUGACUGGGGCGGUCUCCUCCUAAAGAGUAACGGAGGAGCACGAAGGUACCCUUAGCCUGGUCGGAAAUCAGGCGAUGAGUGCAAUGGCAUAAGGGUGCUUGACUGCGAGAUAGACACAUCGAGCAGGUACGAAAGUAGGUCAUAGUGAUCCGGUGGUUCUGUAUGGAAGGGCCAUCGCUCAACGGAUAAAAGGUACUCCGGGGAUAACAGGCUGAUACCGCCCAAGAGUUCAUAUCGACGGCGGUGUUUGGCACCUCGAUGUCGGCUCAUCACAUCCUGGGGCUGAAGCAGGUCCCAAGGGUAUGGCUGUUCGCCAUUUAAAGUGGUACGCGAGCUGGGUUCAGAACGUCGUGAGACAGUUCGGUCCCUAUCUGCCGUGGGCGUUUGAGACUUGAGGGAAGCUGCUCCUAGUACGAGAGGACCGGAGUGGACGCACCUCUGGUGUUCCGGUUGUCAUGCCAAUGGCAUUGCCGGGUAGCUAUGUGUGGACAGGAUAACCGCUGAAAGCAUCUAAGCGGGAAGCCCCUCCCAAGAUGAGAUCUCACUGGGACCGUGAGUCCCCUGAAGGGCCCUGGGAGACUACCAGGUUGAUAGGCACGGUGUGGAAGCGCAGUAAUGUGUGUAGCUAACGUGUAUUAAUUGCCCGUGAGGCUUGACCG